UACGGAGGGUGCGAGCGUUAAUCGGAAUUACUGGGCGUAAAGUGCGCGUAGGUGGCCUGAUAAGCCGGUUGUGAAAGCCCCGGGCUCAACCUGGGAACGGCUUCCGUAACUGUCACGCUAGAGUGCAGGAGAGGAAGGUAGAAUUCCCGGUGUAGCGGUGAAAUGCGUAGAGAUCGGGAGGAAUACCAGUGGCGAAGGCGGCCUUCUGGACUGACACUGACACUGAGGUGCGAAAGCGCGGGUAGCAAACAGG
rnacentral:misc_RNA from 1 species